ACCAAAUCCAUGUUCCUUAUUCAGGUCAUAAAAAUCUUCAAGAACAACUUGUUUGAUAUUUCAUGUCUUUUGUUCUUUUGGUCUAAUAUGAUAUCCUUUUUAUUACUCUAAUUUCAGCUAGUUGGCACAAUUAUUGGUCCAGUUCCUACUUUUCCAUGGCAUAUAUGGUGGUUACUUUCAACCAUUGAUCAUGUCAUCAACACAGAACUUGUUGGAAGUUUUGUUGACAGUUGGAAAAAACAUCAAGACUGCAGCUUGGUUUCAACUCGAAGUCUUACUACUUUGUGCAUAAAAGAAUGUACUGUUAAUUCCCAAGUGCAAGGAAGAAACAGGGAAAGAUUGGCAUAUUAUUCAAUUCAACCCAUAGCUAAAAAACACUAACUGAAUAAAGUCAUGUCUCUCUUAGACAGCAGAUUUGCAGGAACACAGCAUUGUUUAUUAUACAGGUGGGGAUCGAGUUAUGAAUUUCAUCGAGUCUCAAUGAUUUCAGCCAAUGAGACAAUGCAGACUCUUAACUUUGUGGGAUAUAUUUAUAUAUAUAGCCUUGCUUAAUUUGGUUAGUAUUUCUCUCUUUAAUUUG